UGUCCCAGUAGCUCAGCUGGAUAGAGCAACAGCCUCCUAAGCUGUAGGUCGUGAGUUCGAAUCUCGCCUGGGACGUC
rnacentral:tRNA from 1 species